GCCGGAGUGGCGGAACAGGCAGACGCAAGGGACUUAAAAUCCCUCGGGCUUUGGCCCGUACCGGUUCGACCCCGGUCUUCGGCACCA
rnacentral:tRNA from 1 species